ensembl:snRNA U6 U6 spliceosomal RNA
GCGCUCGUUUCCACAGCACAAAUGCUAAAAUUGGAAUGACACAAAGAAGAUUAGCAUGGCCCCUGCACAUGGAUGACAUGCAAAUUCAUGAGGCAUUUCAGAUUUUA